rnacentral:lncRNA from 1 species
AUCGAACAGCUAUAAAAGGCCAGUCCUGUGUCUGUGUCUCCACACCACUGGUGCCAUUUUGUAGAAGAGUCAGAAAAAACUACAGAAACAGAAAUGCCAGGCUAAUCACACAUGAUGCCUACUAACAUUUUUUCCCCUGCUUUGCUACGGAGUCCUCCUAAUCUAGAGGAACCCCCCCACCAGUGGAAUUCAACGGCAAAACUCCCAUGUACUCAACAGGACAGGACUCCUGAAACCCAAACCGCUCAGUUGCUGAGGUAUUCCCACCGAAUCCAAAGCUACUCACAUACACUGAGACUUGUUUAAUGGACUACAUUAAAGGACUACUAUGUGUGCUCAACAAAUUGCAGGAUCAAACUGCCUGCCAAAUGACUAACAUAGGACUGCAGCUGCUUGACUUGGCCAAAUUUAGAGUGUACCGAGAAAGGUUGCUAUUAUAUGGCUAUUCUGCCCUGGGGACUCUUGGGGCUCUGGCUCAGAUGCAGCAGAGGAUUAAUAUUGGAUGGCUGAGAUGGCUCCUGCACCAGCCAUGUGCUCUGGACAGCCAGUGGGAAUAUCUCCCUAUGGGAUGGAGCCACAACUGAUGUGUGGGCAACUUGUACCCCAGUCCACCCCAAGGUGGGCAGAAAUUUAUGCGGGUCCACCCACAGUACAUCAAGCUGCAGUGGAAGGGUGGAAUAGCUGCUUUGGUUGCAGAAGGUGUGUUGGAUUGGGGUGAGUGAUUUAAAUGUGUAGCCAUUUCCAGACCAAGAUAAAGACAGAUGAAGGAGAGUGCACUCCUGCCUUCCUGUGGUCUGGAGAGCUGCUUAAGGGUCACUUUCACCAUAACUGCAAAACAGCUCUGCUUUACCACUGCUCUCAGGCUGAGGUUUGUAACUGCUUUGUCUUUCUGUUGAGUGCUUCUAGGACAGAUUAUCUGUUUGUAAUUCAGGAGGAAAAGAUCAGGUUAGCCUAAGCUUAAGAAAUUCUGGCAUCUUUUGUGGAUAUCACAGUUAAAAUCUAAAAGUUUAGGGACACUUAAGGGUCUGAGAACUUUUUUUAACAAUUUGUUUUCUAAACAAAAGGAAAAAUAUUUCGGAAUGACAUCUCCAAUUUUAACUGUUAAAAAUAAAACUAGUAAUUAUAAAAUAUCUUUGUGAAAAGUUAGGAUUUUCUUUGGUUGUUUGUUCAUAAACAUUCACCAAGCAAUAAUCCAUUUCUUAAUAGUAAAAUGUAUUCAUAAACUAUGCUGAUGAUAGCAGGUCCAUAUUUAUGCUAAAUAAAUAAAUAAAUAAAAUUUGAUCAAGUAAAUAA